UACAGAGGUCCCAAGCGUUGUUCGGAUUCACUGGGCGUAAAGGGUGCGUAGGCGGGUCUUUAAGUCAGGGGUGAAAUCCUGGAGCUCAACUCCAGAACUGCCUUUGAUACUGAAGAUCUUGAGUUCGGGAGAGGUGAGUGGAACUGCGAGUGUAGAGGUGAAAUUCGUAGAUAUUCGCAAGAACACCAGUGGCGAAGGCGGCUCACUGGCCCGAUACUGACGCUGAGGCACGAAAGCGUGGGAGCAAACAGG
rnacentral:rRNA from 1 species